AUUCGGCGCAUCAGCAACAACGAGCGCCUUCCUUUCCGCCACAACCGCCACAGGCGCCAGCCUACGUAGUUACUGCGGUGCAUAGACUUCAGGGUCGAGCUGCACUACGCGCACACAGGGCUGUAUGCUGUUGUCUUUUGCUUGCGCGCAGCUGCGGACGGCCUUCUCUACAUGCCGAGCAAGUUCCUGCGGCUGCUGUUCGUAGGUGCGCCGGGUGUGGGGAAGGGGACUUAUUCCGGUCGCGCGGCCGUGUCGCUGGGCUGCCACGCCGUCUCCAGCGGAGACCUUCUGCGGAAGGAGGUUGCUGAGGGCACGGCGAUCGGCAAGCAGGUGAAGGAGCUGAUUGAGAAGGGCGUCUUUGUUCCCGAUGAGAUCAUCACAAAGAUGGUGGCGCAGCACAUAGCGUCGCUGUCGGCGGACAAGGAGCGACCAAACGGGUACAUUUUGGACGGGUACCCGCGCAACAUCUCGCAGGCAACAGCACUGUGGUCGUCAGGGGAGAUCAAGAUCGACCACGUCAUCAACCUCACUCAACCGCGUAACGUGAUCAUCAAGAAGCUCUCGUCGCGCCGAUCUUGCCCGGACUGCGGGUUUGUGUACAACCUGGCCUCUAUCGACGAGGGAGGGAUCAAGAUGGACCCCCUCAAGCCCAAGCUGGAUGGCGUGUGCGACAAGUGCGGCUGCACAAAACCUCUCAUCACCCGAAAGGACGAUGACAUCGAUGUCGUGACAACGCGCCAGGAUGCGUACAGCGCCGUCGCAACGCCACUCCUGCGCUUUUACAAGGAGAAGGGUAUCCUGCACGAGUUUCCGGUACUAGGCGGCACAAAACUAUACUUGCCGAAGCUGCUCGAACUGAUCUCGACGUUGGAUUAGUGUGCUUGUCGCGUUUCUCUCUUUCAUCGCACGAGGUCUUCUCGCUCUCUCUCUCUCUCCGUCGUGUGUGCGUGUGUGUGCGGUUUCGUGCAGGCGCUUCGUUUCAAAAUGCGAGCGCCGCUUCCGUUGUUCUUGGAAUCUGCUCGUCUCUCCUCUCCGUCCUCAUCGGCCUCUCUCCGGUGUUCUCUCCCUCCCUCCUCUACCCUGUUUCGACUCGAAGCUGGUGUUCGCCCUCAUCUCAAGGACAUCGCCACCCAG
rnacentral:misc_RNA from 1 species